rnacentral:rRNA from 1 species
GGUAAUGGCCCACCAAGGCGACGAUCGGUAGCUGGUCUGAGAGGAUGAUCAGCCACAUUGGGACUGAGACACGGCCCAAACUCCUACGGGAGGCAGCAGUGGGGAAUAUUGGACAAUGGGCGCAAGCCUGAUCCAGCCAUGCCGCGUGAGUGAUGACGGCCUUAGGGUUGUAAAGCUCUUUCGUCAGGGACGAUAAUGACGGUACCUGAAGAAGAAGCCCCGGCUAACUUCGUGCCAGCAGCCGCGGUAAUACGAAGGGGGCUAGCGUUGUUCGGAAUUACUGGGCGUAAAGCGCGUGUAGGCGGGUCUUUAAGUCAGGGGUGAAAUGCCAGGGCUCAACCUUGGAACUGCCUUUGAUACUGGAGAUCUUGAGUCCGGGAGAGGUGAGUGGAACUGCGAGUGUAGAGGUGAAAUUCGUAGAUAUUCGCAAGAACACCAGUGGCGAAGGCGGCUCACUGGCCCGGUACUGACGCUGAGAUGCGAAAGCGUGGGGAGCAAACAGGAUUAGAUACCCUGGUAGUCCACGCUGUAAACGAUGGAUGCUAGCCGUUAGGCAGCUUGCUGCUUAGUGGCGCAGUUAACACUUUAAGCAUCCCGCCUGGGGAGUACGGUCGCAAGAUUAAAACUCAAAGGAAU